rnacentral:rRNA from 1 species
AGACGUCUACAUUAGAUACCCCCUGUACGUCCCAGCCGUAAACUAUGCGCGUUAGGUGUAUCGGUGACCACGAGUCACCGAGGUGCCGAAGGGAAACCGUGAAACGUGCCGCCGUGGGAAGUACGGUCGCAAGGCUAGAAACUUAAAGGAAUUGGCGGGGAGCACCACAACGGGUGGAGCCUGCGGUUUAAUUGGACUCAACGCCGGGAAGCUCACCGGAUAAGACAGCGGAAUGAUUGCCGGGCUGAAGACUCUGCAUGACUAGCUG